rnacentral:rRNA from 1 species
CCUACGGGGGGCUGCAGUGGGGAAUAUUGCACAAUGGGGGAACCCCGGAUGAGGCAAGGCGGGGGAGGCGAUGAAGGCCUCCGGGUGGAAAAGCUCUGUCUAAGGGGAGGAAUACGGAGGGUACCUUGGGGGGAAGCCCCGGCAACCAACGUGCCGGCAGCCCGGGUAAUACGUAGGGGGUAAGCGUAAUCCGGAAUUACUGGGGGUAAAGGGUGCGUAGGCGGCCCCCCAAGUCAGAGGUGAAAGGCUACGGCUCAACCGUAGUAAGCCUUUGAAACUGUAGGGCUUGAGUGCAGGAGAGGAGAGUGGAAUUCCCAGUGUAGCGGUGAAAUGCGUAGAUAUUGGGAGGAACACCAGUUGCGAAGGCGGCUCUCUGGACUGUAACUGACGCUGAGGCACGAAAGCGUGGGGAGCGAACAGGAUUAGAUACCCGUGUAGUC